CGUCUAGGCGGUCAAGUAAGUUCACCCGUGAAAGCCCUCGGCUUAACCGAUGAAGGUCGGGUGAUACUGCUUGGCUUGGGUGUAGGAGAGGAGAGCGGAACUCACAGAGUAGCGGUGGAAUGCGUAGAUACUGUGAGGUACCCCGAUGGCGAAGACAGCUCUCUGGCCUACUACCGACGCUGAAGCGCGAAAGCGUGGGGAGCAAAGG
rnacentral:rRNA from 1 species